rnacentral:rRNA from 1 species
CGCGUAGGUGGUUUGUUAAGUUGGAUGUGAAAGCUCCGGGCUCAACCUGGGAACUGCAUCCAAAACUGGCAAGCUAGAGUACGGUAGAGGGUGGUGGAAUUUCCUGUGUAGCGGUGAAAUGCGUAGAUAUAGGAAGGAACACCAGUGGCGAAGGCGACCACCUGGACUGAUACUGACACUGAGGUGCGAAAGCGUGGGGAAGCAAACA